rnacentral:rRNA from 1 species
AUGCGUAUGUUGAGAUGGAUGUGUGGCCACAUGAGGAAGGGUCGAGUCCGGAAUGAUGAUAUACGAGAUAGAGUUGGGGUAGCAUCAAUUGAAGAGAAGCUUGUCCAACAUCGUCUGAGAUGGUUUGGGCAUAUUCAGCGCAGGCCUCCAGAAGCUCCAGUGCAUAGCGGACGGCUAAAGCGUGCGGAGAAUGUCAAGAGAGGCCGGGGUAGACCGAAUUUGAUAUGGGAAGAGUCCGUUAAGAGAGACCUGAAGGAUUGGAGUAUCACCAAAGAACUAGCUAUGGACAGGGGUGCAUGGAAGCUUGCUAUCCAGGUGCCAGAGCCAUGA